UACGUAGGCAGCAAGCGUUGUUCGGAAUUACUGGGCGUAAAGGGCGCGUAGGCGGCCAACUAAGUCAGACGUGAAAUCCCUCGGCUCAACCGGGGAACUGCGUCUGAUACUGGAUGGCUUGAAUUCGGGAGAGGGAUGCGGAAUUCCAGGUGUAGCGGUGAAAUGCGUAGAUAUCUGGAGGAACACCGGUGGCGAAGGCGGCAUCCUGGACCGAGAUUGACGCUGAUGCGCGAAAGCCAGGGGAGCAAACGGG
rnacentral:rRNA from 1 species